GAUGAAGAACGCAGCGAAAUGCGAUACGUAAUGUGAAUUGCAGAAUUCAGUGAAUCAUCGAGUCUUUGAACGCACAUUGCGCCCCCUGGUAUUCCGGGGGGCAUGCCUGUCCGAGCGUCAUUGCUGCCCUCAAGCACGGCUUGUGUGUUGGGCCUCCGUCCUCCUCCCGGGGGACGGGCCCGAAAGGCAGCGGCGGCACCGCGUCCGGUCCUCGAGCGUAUGGGGCUUCGUCACCCGCUCUUGUAGGCCCGGCCGGCGCUUGCCGACACAUCAAUCUUUUUUCCAGGUUGACCUCGGAUCAGGUAGGGAUACCCGCUGAACUUAGGCAUAUCAAUAAGCGGAGGA
rnacentral:misc_RNA from 1 species